UACGUAGGGAGCGAGCGUUGUCCGGAUUUAUUGGGCGUAAAGAGCUCGUAGGCGGCUUGUCGCGUCGAAUGUGAAAUCUCAGGGCUCAACUCUGACAUUGCAUUCGAUACGGGCAGGCUAGAGUUCGGUAGGGGAGACUGGAAUUCCUGGUGUAGCAGUGAAAUGCGUAGAUAUCAAGAGGAACACCAGUGGCGAAGGCGAGUCCCUGGACAAUACCUGACACUGAGGCACGAAAGCCAAGGGAGCAAACAGG
rnacentral:rRNA from 1 species